GGGUUGUGAGGUUAAGCGACUAAGCGUACACGGUGGAUGCCCUGGCAGUCAGAGGCGAUGAAGGGCGUGCUAAUCUGCGAUAAGCGCCGGUAAGGUGAUAUGAACCGUUAUAACCGGCGAUACCCGAAUGGGGAAACCCAGUGUGAUUCGUCACACUAUCAUUAACUGAAUCCAUAGGUUAAUGAGGCGAACCGGGGGAACUGAAACAUCUAAGUACCCCGAGGAAAAGAAAUCAACCGAGAUUCCCCCAGUAGCGGCGAGCGAACGGGGAGGAGCCCAGAGCCUGAAUCAGCAUGUGUGUUAGUGGAAGCGUCUGGAAAGGCGCGCGAUACAGGGUGACAGCCCCGUACACAAAAGCGCAUGUGCUGUGAGCUCGAUGAGUAGGGCGGGACACGUGGUAUCCUGUCUGAAUAUGGGGGGACCAUCCUCCAAGGCUAAAUACUCCUGACUGACCGAUAGUGAACCAGUACCGUGAGGGAAAGGCGAAAAGAACCCCGGCGAGGGGAGUGAAAAAGAACCUGAAACCGUGUACGUACAAGCAGUGGGAGCACCCUUUGGGGUGUGACUGCGUACCUUUUGUAUAAUGGGUCAGCGACUUAUAUUCUGUAGCAAGGUUAACCGAAUAGGGGAGCCGGAGGGAAACCGAGUCUUAACCGGGCGUUAAGUUGCAGGGUAUAGACCCGAAACCCGGUGAUCUAGCCAUGGGCAGGUUGAAGGUUGGGUAACACUAACUGGAGGACCGAACCGACUAAUGUUGAAAAAUUAGCGGAUGACCUGUGGCUGGGGGUGAAAGGCCAAUCAAACCGGGAGAUAGCUGGUUCUCCCCGAAAGCUAUUUAGGUAGCGCCUCGUGAAUUCAUCUCCGGGGGUAGAGCACUGUUUCGGCUAGGGGGCCAUCCCGGCUUACCAACCCGAUGCAAACUGCGAAUACCGGAGAAUGUUAUCACGGGAGACACACGGCGGGUGCUAACGUCCGUCGUGAAGAGGGAAACAACCCAGACCGCCAGCUAAGGUCCCAAAGUCAUGGUUAAGUGGGAAACGAUGUGGGAAGGCCCAGACAGCCAGGAUGUUGGCUUAGAAGCAGCCAUCAUUUAAAGAAAGCGUAAUAGCUCACUGGUCGAGUCGGCCUGCGCGGAAGAUGUAACGGGGCUAAACCAUGCACCGAAGCUGCGGCAGCGACGCUGAUGCGUUGUUGGGUAGGGGAGCGUUCUGUAAGCCUGUGAAGGUGGCCUGUGAGGGUUGCUGGAGGUAUCAGAAGUGCGAAUGCUGACAUAAGUAACGAUAAAGCGGGUGAAAAGCCCGCUCGCCGGAAGACCAAGGGUUCCUGUCCAACGUUAAUCGGGGCAGGGUGAGUCGACCCCUAAGGCGAGGCCGAAAGGCGUAGUCGAUGGGAAACGGGUUAAUAUUCCCGUACUUGGUGUUACUGCGAAGGGGGGACGGAGAAGGCUAUGUUGGCCGGGCGACGGUUGUCCCGGUUUAAGCGUGUAGGUGUGUGUUCCAGGUAAAUCCGGUUCACUUUAACACUGAGGCGUGAUGACGAGGCACUACGGUGCUGAAGCAACAAAUGCCCUGCUUCCAGGAAAAGCCUCUAAGCAUCAGGUAACAUCAAAUCGUACCCCAAACCGACACAGGUGGUCAGGUAGAGAAUACCAAGGCGCUUGAGAGAACUCGGGUGAAGGAACUAGGCAAAAUGGUGCCGUAACUUCGGGAGAAGGCACGCUGACACGUAGGUGAAGUGAUUUACUCAUGGAGCUGAAGUCAGUCGAAGAUACCAGCUGGCUGCAACUGUUUAUUAAAAACACAGCACUGUGCAAACACGAAAGUGGACGUAUACGGUGUGACGCCUGCCCGGUGCCGGAAGGUUAAUUGAUGGGGUCAGCGCAAGCGAAGCUCCUGAUCGAAGCCCCGGUAAACGGCGGCCGUAACUAUAACGGUCCUAAGGUAGCGAAAUUCCUUGUCGGGUAAGUUCCGACCUGCACGAAUGGCGUAAUGAUGGCCAGGCUGUCUCCACCCGAGACUCAGUGAAAUUGAACUCGCUGUGAAGAUGCAGUGUACCCGCGGCAAGACGGAAAGACCCCGUGAACCUUUACUAUAGCUUGACACUGAACAUUGAGCCUUGAUGUGUAGGAUAGGUGGGAGGCUUUGAAGUGUGGACGCCAG
rnacentral:rRNA from 1 species